rnacentral:lncRNA from 1 species
UAGAUUUUCAUGUUGUCAAUUACUGAGAAUAUUAUGACGUUUUUCUAGAGACAAAAAAAAAAGUGUAUGUAUAAUAGACAAUAUAAUAAAAGAAUGAGAUGGAAAAAAAUACAAAAAAAAAAAAAAUAGACUCAUACUUAAAUUCUCACAGUUAAAUUAUCUGGUUAAUUUAAAUUAGUAACUUUAUACAUUGAUUUUCUACUCUAGGAAUAUACAUAAACUUGAAUUAUUUAAACACUG